rnacentral:rRNA from 1 species
UACGUAGGUGGCAAGCGUUAUCCGGAAUUACUGGGUGUAAAGGGUGUGUAGGCGGGAAGACAAGUCAGACGUGAAAACUCGGGGCUCAACUCCGAGCCUGCGUUUGAAACUGUUUUUCUUGAGAGUGGGAGAGGUAAACGGAAUUCCUGGUGUAGUAGUGAAAUGCGUAGAUAUCAGGAGGAACACCGGUGGCGAAGGCGGUUUACUGGACCACAACUGACGCUGAGACACGAAAGCGUGGGGAG